rnacentral:rRNA from 1 species
CGGCAACAGCUCAAAUUUGAAAGCUGGCCUUCGGGUCCGCAUUGUAAUUUGUAGAGGAUGCUUUGGGUGAAACGCCAGUCUAAGUUCCUUGGAACAGGACGUCAUAGAGGGUGAGAAUCCCGUAUGUGACUGGAAAUGUUAACCUAUGUAAAGCUCCUUCGAC